rnacentral:rRNA from 1 species
GACGAACGCUGGCGGCGCGCUUAACACAUGCAAGUCGAACGAUGAAGCUGGAGCUUGCUCCGGUGGAUUAGUGGCGAACGGGUGAGUAACACGUGAGAAAUCUGCCCUUCACUCUGGGAUAACUGCGGGAAACUGUAGCUAAUACCGGAUACUUUCCCUGGUGGGCAUCCACUAGGGAAGAAAGAAUUUCGGUGAAGGAUGAUCUCGCGGCCUAUCAGCUAGUUGGUGAGGUAAUGGCUCACCAAGGCGACGACGGGUAGCCGGCCUGAGGGGGUGACCGGCCACACUGGGACUGAGACACGGCCCAGACUCCUACGGGAGGCAGCAGUGGGGAAUAUUGCACAAUGGGCGAAAGCCUGAUGCAGCAACGCCGCGUGAGGGAUGAAGGCCUUCGGGUUGUAAACCUCUUUUAGCAGGGAAGAAGCGAAAGUGACGGUACCUGCAGAAAAAGCACCGGCUAACUACGUGCCAGCCGCCGCAGUAA